rnacentral:rRNA from 1 species
GACGAACGCUGGCGGCGUGCUUAACACAUGCCAGUCGAACGGUGAAGCGCCUUCCUUUUUGGUGGGUGUGGAUGAGUGGCGAACGGGUGAGUAACACGUGAGUAACCUGCCCCCUUCUUCUGGAUAACCGCAUGAAAGUGUGGCUAAUACGGGAUAUUCUGGGUCUGUCGCAUGAUGGGUCUGGGAAAGAUAUUGUUUCGGUGGGGGAUGGGCUCGCGGCCUAUCAGCUUGUUGGUGGGGUGAUGGCCUACCAAGGCGGUGACGGGUAGCCGGCCUGAGAGGGUGGACGGUCACACUGGGACUGAGACACGGCCCAGAAUCCUACGGGAGGCAGCAGUGGGGAAUAUUGCACAAUGGGCGCAAGCCUGAUGCAGCGACGCCGCGUGAGGGAUGGAGGCCUUCGGGUUGUGAACCUCUUUCGCCAGUGAAGCAGGCCUGCCUCGUUUGUGGGUGGGUUGACGGUAGCUGGAUAAGAAGCGCCAGCUAACUACGUG